rnacentral:lncRNA from 1 species
AUGCCAUACUUCCUCCUCCUACUCGAUUUCACCCUACCUUUGCAGAGAAGUGCUUUGAUUUGUGUUAUGGGAGUCUGCUUCUUUGGAACAUUCUUACUUGAUGGAGUGCUUGAGCAUGCAAACCGAUGUCAGAGGCUUAAGCCACAGUGGUCACCAACUUUCUUCAAUAUCCUGCAAAGGAAGAGAAUAAGUCAACCUCAAAAUAACUUAAGCAAAGCUGAGUGAAAAUGAACUUCUGCUAAACUUCUGUAUGUUCCUGAUUGUUCCAGUAUGUUCCUGAAUAUUAAAGAACAGGACUACAAUCAAGAAUGACAACAGACAAAAAGUGGCAUGCAGAACAGAUGAAAAAAAAGAGAUCAAGACAGUUGUCUACAAUUAAUAUUAAAAGACAGGACUAUGAAAUUUUGGACUUGUGAUCAUGAGGUUAUGUAAGAAUAGAGCAUGCAUGUUUACAUCACAUAAAUAUAUACACAUGUUACACAGAAAUACAAUGUAGGAAGAAAUCUCAUGGAAUGAGUAAUUAUACAACACAUGCAUAAUUGCAAAACACAAAAUUCACAUUGACAUAUGAAUUUCUGUGGAAAAUUCAAACAGAAAUUUCUUAUCUGCAUGAGUUUGCACAGAAAAAAGAAAAAGGUAUUAUAUUUAUACAUAUGUAAAUUUGUAUAGAUACAACUUAUGUACAUAUGUGAAUAUUAAUGUACUAGCAAACUAACUAUAUUAGAAUAAUUUAUUAAUGUUCUAAUAACUAAACUAUAGGGACAGUUUAGAAAAUUUGUUCAAAGUCUUAGGGAAGUAGGGACAGACAAAAACUACUUAAGUAUAGAAGUUAGAUUACAUUAUAAUUUUUGGUUAGCAAUUGUUAGUAAUAGAAAAUUUUACUUAGUUGAAUUUAUAGACAUUAGGAGAUAAGAUAAUUACAUAUUCAAAACUGUUAGAAUUGUUUUAAAUUGUUACAUGAUUUGUUAUGUUCAAAAACCAUGUUCAUGUAAAAUUCCUAUUACCCAAGCCAUUUUCCUAUACCCAAACUUAGCAUAGAAUUAGGUAGACAGAAUAGCUAAAAUAGAUUAGAAUGUGUUGUUUUGGGAGGGUAAAGAAAUAUUUAAUACAGUACAGGGAUAAGAAUUAGAGAGUUAACAAUAUACCAAAAUAUAUAUCUAAAAGGUAAGUAUCAUUAAAAAUGCUGGUUGCAUUUUUUCAAAAUGAAAAGGGAGGAUUUGUGGAAGAGAGAAAUUAGGAAGCAUGCAAAGAGGGAGAAGCAGUGGCUGAGUGGUGACCUGUCAGUCAAAUAAGAGGAUUCUAUUUGGAAUGUUCCCAGGAAAAGCAGUUGGAAGGAAAGGAACAGACCAACUGAAGGGUUAUAUCUUUUAACCUUAGAGACAGAAAGGAGUGGUGGUGCUGGUGACUUUGAAGGCAGAAGAAAGAGGGACAGAAGUCUAGAUAUCUCUCUGACUUGCUCUGUUGAUGAUAGUGACUGAACUUCCAGACCUAUUAACCAUUUCCCUCAAUUGAACCAUAUUCCAACAUCCUUCAACCUGACUCAUUUUAAUAUUAGGGAAAUCCUCAACCCUCUUACCUCCAUUCUUUAUCCCAUCCUGUCUUCCCCAAAUAACCCCCUAACUUAAGAUAAAGAAGAGAAAGAGUAUUUCAUGUGAAACAUCAUAAACUCACCCCUGAGUUGAUUUAGAAGAAGAGAGAAGAAAAAGGAAAGGGAGAGGGGAGGAAAAGGGAGGCUGAAGAGAGGGUGGAAAUGGGAGGAAGGGAGGAAAAGAGGGAGGACAGUUGACAGAAGAAAUAGGAUAACUGCCUGAUCUGUUAGUUAUCAAUUACCAAUCAAUAUAGUCCCUUCUUAUUAUUUAUUACACAUUAAAAUAUUAAGAAACAGAAUUAUUUAUAAUUACAGAAAUUUCCAAAAAGAAAGUCUUACAGAAUGACCUUGUGUCAAACCCUAUGUCUUAAAAGCUUAAUAAAUUUUUCAGAGAUUCAGUGGCUUGGGAAUCU